AGUGCAAUGCCUGCCUUUCUCAUACUGCUCCAAGAGUAAUCAUGGCCUUCUCACAAAGGGAGUGGAUGGCCUGUCCCCAUUUCUCUUUCUUGGUAAAUAUACCGUUGGCAUAUAUUAGCACAACAUUUUCGUAAAAAGUUGAAAAGGUUGAUUUAGGUUCAGACGGGUAUCUGUGCAAUAGAGUUUUUCUGUUUCCUGUGUCUCUAGUCUGGG
rnacentral:lncRNA from 1 species